AUAUGCAUGGCAGAGUUAAGGUGUGCUAUUGAUCCUGCUGGUGGCCACAGGGACAGCGCUGGAGUGUUUGUUCUGUCUGGACGCUAACGAGCAGCUAGAUCACUGUCAUCCCAUCACAUGUGCAUUGCACGAGGAAUGUUUUUUCGAGAGGACAGUUGACGUGGAUACAUUCCAAAUCCUACACAAUGCCGGAUGUCGAGAUAAAACGCUAUGUAGUUACUUGACGACGAUAACAGCGGGGAGAAAACGAAGGAGGGAGCUUGAAAUAAAGAGGAGUGGCAUUCUUACAACGACUCCUGUUGAGUACCGCGCAUGUUAUAAUUGCUGUAACUCGCCCGGGACCUCGGGACACCCAUGUAACGCUUUCCUGUGUAACCAGAAUUCAACAUCCGCAAAUGGUCGAUAAAAAUAGCCACCAUCACUCCUAAAAAUAAAUUCGUUAGCGAUAAA
rnacentral:misc_RNA from 1 species